rnacentral:rRNA from 1 species
AUGCUUAAUGCCAUGCCACACUUCUUUGUCAAACCAUAUGCUAUGCUUGAUGACAACACUUGUUGGGUGAAUCUCCUCUUGAAUGCUUGGUUUUGCUCUUACGCCAACCACAUUUGUUUUUCCAUGUGCUUGUUAUCUUUGCUCCUUUUGAAGGAAUUACAAGACGGUGCGACAUUGGAGAGUGCCCAUUUGGAACUACAAGAUGAUGCAUGCUUGUUUAUCGUCAAAUCCUACACGGCAACAUCAUCUCUUUCCCAUGGUGAUUUGGAUUUCGAUCCAAGGUCGGAUCUUUCCCAAGGGGGAGGGGAUGAUGCGGAGCAUCCUAUGGACAUCACCAUGUCAAGAAUCCCAUCGCUAAGAGACACGUUCAACUUCUACUUCAAUCAUACUAAGGUGAAUUCCAUCCUUAAUGCGUGUCUUCUUAGUUUCCUUGAGGAUGGUAUACUACUUGACCGUCCUACCAUGUGCCCAUAUAGGUUUGAUCCCGAUGAUGAACGUGCCAUGGAGGAGGUCAACCACAAGCGAGCGCCUACACCGUCCUCGAGUGAAGCAUGGAAACGUAGAAGGAACCGUAAAGGAGAAGGCGAGGUUCCACCUGCACCGACGGGAGUCCACGAGAAGACGUGCUGCGAGCUUCAGGACACACCGUGCGCACGGGCCCUUGGACCCCGUGCCCACAGGACCCCGUGCCCACGGUACAAGCCUGUGCACACGGGCUAA